rnacentral:misc_RNA from 1 species
AGCAGCCGCGGUAAUUCCAGCUCCAAUAGCGUAUAUUAAAGUUGUUGCAGUUAAAAAGCUCGUAGUUGAAUUUCGGGAUCAAUAUAUCGGUCGUGCCUUGGUACGUACUGGUAUCAUUGGUUUCUCCUUUCUGACGAACCAUGAUGUCAUUAAUUUGGUGUUAUGGGAAGUUAGGACUGUUACUUUGAAAAAAUUAGAGUGUUUAAAGCAGGCUUUGGCUUGAAUACAUUAGCAUGGAAUAAUGAAAUAGGACGUUCGAACCUAUUUUGUUGGUUUCUAGGAUCAACGUAAUGAUUAAUAGGGAUAGUUGGGGGCAUUAGUAUUCAAUUGUCAGAGGUGAAAUUCUUGGAUUUAUUGAAGACUAACUACUGCGAAAGCAUUUGCCAAGGAUGUUUUCACUAAUCAAGAACGAAAGUUAGGGGAUCGAAGACGAUCAGAUACCGUCGUAGUCUUAACCAUAAACUAUGCCGACUAGGGAUCGGAUGAUGUUAAUUUUUUAAUGACUCAUUCGGCGCCUUAC